rnacentral:rRNA from 1 species
GGGGAAUAUUGCUCAAUGGAGGAAACUCUGAAGCAGCGACGCCGCGUGAAGGAUGAAGGUUUUCGGAUUGUAAACUUCUUUUAUCGGGGAAGAAACAAAUGACGGUACCCGAUGAAUAAGCCACGGCUAACUACGUGCCAGCAGCCGCGGUAAUACGUAGGUGGCGAGCGUUGUCCGGAAUUACUGGGUGUAAAGGGCGUGUAGGCGGUUAUGUAAGUCGGAUGUGAAAGCCCACGGCUUAACCGUGGGAGUGCAUCCGAAACUAUGUAUCUUGAGUGCUGGAGAGGGAAGCGGAAUUCCUAGUGUAGCGGUGAAAUGCGUAGAUAUUAGGAGGAACACCAGUGGCGAAGGCGGCUUUCUGGACAGUAACUGACGCUGAGGCGCGAAAGCGUGGGGAGCAAAC